CAGUCACUCCAGAUCUUUCUGAUGACCUCAUCACCAGGCCUCCACUCAUGGACUUACUCACCCAGCAUCUUCAGCAUGGCUGCACUCAGCCGGUUCCACUCCCCUGGCAUGGCGGCACCCUCCUUGGCAACGGUGCAGUUUAACGUGAUACCACUCAUGUCCCCCAGAGGGCACAGCUUCCUGCCCUCGCCCAACAGCACUGCCAACGAGUCUGCUUGUUCCAGAGAUGAAGCCCAUGGUGCCUGA
rnacentral:lncRNA from 1 species